rnacentral:miRNA from 1 species
AGGACUGUCCAACCUGAGAAUGG